UAGUCUAGUUUUGCCCUUGGCGUCUGCAACUCCGAUCGAAUCCGAACAAAAUCAUGGCGGCUCGCUCGCUCCAUCGCUGACUCUCUCCGAAUCGACGACGGCGGUGAAAACAACGCCUCACCAAACGCUAGACAAUCUGAACUCACAGAAAACGAAGAAGAAGAAGAAGAUGACGAGGAUGAGGAUGAGGAUGAAGAAGCAGAUGAGGAUCGAACUGGUCGUGGCGUGAGAGAAGAUCUAUCGGAAUUUACAGAAACCCUAACUCGCCAACUAUGGGGCGUCGCUUCGUUCCUCGCUCCUCCUCCUCCUCCCCCGCCUCGCCACCGCGUCCAGCGACCGAUCGCCUAUCGGAAUCGGUGGGAUCCGUCGGAUCCGUCUAGUUCCGGAGACGAUUCCGUGGGUGAAACUUCAUUUCAGUCGGUAUUUCCAAUC
rnacentral:lncRNA from 1 species